rnacentral:rRNA from 1 species
GACGAACGCUGGCGGCGUGCUUAACACAUGCAAGUCGAACGGAAAGGCCCUGCUUUUGUGGGGUGCUCGAGUGGCGAACGGGUGAGUAACACGUGAGUAACCUGCCCUUGACUUUGGGAUAACUUCAGGAAACUGGGGCUAAUACCGGAUAGGAGCGCGUGCUGCAUGGUGGGGGUUGGAAAGUUUCGGCGGUUGGGGAUUGACUCGCGGCUUCUCAGCUUGUUGGUGGGGUAGUGGCUUACCAAGGCUUUGACGGGUAGCCGGCCUGAGAGGGUGACCGGCCACAUUAGAACUGAGAUACGGCCCAGACUCCGUCGUGAUGCACACGUGGGGAGGAGGGCAGGAGGACGCGAGUCCGCAUGCCGCAAAGCCCGGUGCGGCAUGACGGCCUUCGGGUUGUAACAAGAGGGCGCCUGUGACGAAGCGUGAGUGACGGUAAUGGGUAAAGAGUCACCGGCUAACUACGUG